UUUUACGGAGAGUUUGAUCCUGGCUCAGGACGAACGCUGGCGGCGUGCUUAACACAUGCAAGUCGAACGAUGAUGCCCAGCUUGCUGGGUGGAUUAGUGGCGAACGGGUGAGUAACACGUGAGUAACCUGCCCCUGAC
rnacentral:rRNA from 1 species